rnacentral:rRNA from 1 species
UACGUAGGGGGGCUAGCGUUGUCCGGAUUUAUUGGGCGUAAAGAGCGUGUAGGCGCCAGACAGGUCCGUUGUGAAAACUCGAGGCUCAACCUCGAGAUGUCGAUGGAAACCGUCUGGCUAGAGUCCGGAAGAGGAGUGUGGAAUUCCUGGUGUAGCGGUGAAAUGCGCAGAUAUCAGGAAGAACACCCGUGGCGAAGGCGGCCUCUCGUGGGACGGUACUGACGCUGAGACGCGAAAGCGUGGGGGAGCGAACAGG